AAUUUAUUGGUUUAUAUAAAUUUUUAUUUAUUUUAUUUUAUAAAAAAAAUAUUUUUAUAUUUUAUUAUUAAUUUAGAAAAAAUUAAUUUUAGUUAUAGUUAAUUAGUAUAGUGAUAGAUUAUUGAAAUAAAUUGAAAUAUUAAAAUAUUUAAAAGAAAAAUUUAUUUUUUGUACCUUGGGUAUCAGGGUUUAUUAAAUAAUAAUUAUAAAUUUAAUUUUCUCGAAUUUAAAAGAGCUAAAAAAUUAUAAAUUUUAUUGUAACAUAAAUAUUUAAAAUAAUUUUUUAGUAAUGAAACGUUAUUCGUUUUUAAAUUUAUCUAGUUUUUUAAGAAAUAAAUUUAAUUUAGUUUAUUAGUUUAAUUUAAAUAAUUUUUUAUUUAAGUUAAUAUAAUAAUUUAAUAUUUUAGGGGAUAAGCUUUAAGAUAAAAUUUUAUAAAUAAUUAUUAAUUUAAAAAUUAAUUUGUAGGAUUGGAAGUUUUUUUCAAAUAUUGUGUUAUAACAGUUUUUUUUUUAUAUUUAAUUUUUAUAUAAUUUUAAAUUUUUUAUUAAAAUAAUUAAUUAAAUAUUAAAAUUUAUGAAAUAAUGAUAGAAUUAGUAUAAUGUAAUGUUAAAUAAAGUUAAAAAUUAAGGUUGAAUUAAGGAACUCGGCAAAAUAUUUUUCCGCCUGUUUAUUAAAAACAUGGCUUUUUGAUUAUAAUUUAAAGUCUGACCUGCCCUCUGAAUUAUUAAUUUGAAUGGCUGCGGUACCCUGACCGUGCAAAGGUAGCAUAAUAAUUAGUUUCUUAAUUGGGAACUGGUAUGAACGGUCGAACGAGAGAAAGACUGUCUCAAUUUAAUUUAAAUUAGAAUUUUAUUUUUAAGUAAGAAAGCUUAAAUUAUUUUAAAAGACGAGAAGACCCUAUAGAAUUUUAUAAAAAUUUAUAUAUUUGAAAGUUAAAGGAUUUUAGAUUUAGAUAUAUUUAUUUUUAUUUAGUUGGGGCGAUUGAAAAAUUUAAUAAACUUUUUUUAAAAUUAAACCAUUAAUUUAUGAUUGGAUGAUCCAUUAAUAAUGAUUAUAAGAUUAAAUUACCUUAGGGAUAACAGCGUAAUUUUUUUUGAGAGUUCUUAUCGAAAAAAAAGUUUGCGACCUCGAUGUUGGAUUAAAAUAAACUUUUGGUGCAGAGACUGAAAGAGUUAGGUCUGUUCGACCUUUAAAAUUUUACAUGAUCUGAGUUUAAACCGGCGUGAGCCAGGUUGGUUUCUAUCUUUAAAAAAUUAAAAUAUUUUAGUACGAAAGGAUCAAGUAUUUGUAAUAUUUAUUAAUUAAAGAUUUUUAUUAAUUUA
rnacentral:rRNA from 1 species